rnacentral:tRNA from 1 species
AGAGUUAAAUGAAAUUAUUUAAGCUGCUAACUUAUAAUAAUAGUGGUUUAAAUCCAUUAUAUCUCUA